rnacentral:rRNA from 1 species
UACGUAGGGGGCAAGCGUUGUCCGGAUUUAUUGGGCGUAAAGAGCGUGUAGGCGGCCUUACAGGUCAGCUGUGAAAACUCGAGGCUCAACCUCGAGACGUCGGUUGAAACCGUAUGGCUAGAGUCCGGAAGAGGAGAGUGGAAUUCCCGGUGUAGCGGUGAAAUGCGUAGAUAUCUGGAGGAACACCGGUGGCGAAGGCGGCAUCCUGGACCAACACUGACGCUGAGUGAGCGAAAGCCAGGGGAGCAAACGGG